GAUGAAGAACGUAGCAAAAUGCGAUAAGUAAUGUGAAUUGCAGAAUUCAGUGAAUCAUCGAAUCUUUGAACGCACAUUGCGCCCGCUGGUAUUCCGGCGGGCAUGCCUGUUCGAGCGUCAUUUCAACCCUCAAGCCCCCGGGUUUGGUGUUGGGGAUCGGCUCUGCCCUUCUGGGCGGUGCCGCCCCCGAAAUACAUUGGCGGUCUCGCUGCAGCCUCCAUUGCGUAGUAGCUAACACCUCGCAACUGGAACGCGGCGCGGCCAUGCCGUAAAACCCCAACUUCUGAAUGUUGACCUCGGAUCAGGUAGGAAUACCCGCUGAACUUAAGCAUAUCAAUAAGCGG
rnacentral:misc_RNA from 1 species